AUCUGACCCGAGCUGACGCCGAUAAAAAUUCUGAAUUUCACGAAUUUCCAGAGCUUCAGCGACCCCCAAACCUUCUUAACAACUACGGAACUCAAGUGAAAAUCGACUCACUCCCAGUCGAACCAGUCCUUGAUCGACUCAGCAUAACGGCUAUCCUGAUGCCUUUAAAUCUGAAGAUCGAGCGCACAUAUAGCCAGACCCUGAUCAAGGCUCUACGUUGUUGUGCGGACUCUUGGCCAUUCAACAUCUCGUCGAUCUGGAUGCAUUAUGGAGAAAAUCUAGAUAAUGACUUCCAUGAUGAGUCUCUGGAUUGGGACAUACUGGAGAAGAUGCUGGCGGGCGAGCAGUUUAAGGGCUGGGACUGGUUUCUGACUAAGUUACACCGAAUGCUGCAGAACGCAAUGUCCUGCUUCACCGAAUGCCCAUCGAUCCGCAGAGCGACACAGAGGACCUUCGAAAAGAUCGUGGAAAUGGUACCUGAUUAUGAAGAACGCAUGGCUCACGUAAAGGCGACGGCUCACGAAGCGGUUCGUUUGAAAUUGGACGCCAUUACACCAUCUCAAAAAGAGGAACUCCUUAAAUAACUUGAAUUAUCCAAGAAAGCAAACAGAAAUCAUUCUUAUUGGUUUUGUAACAGAAAUUUGAAUAAAUAACACAAGGCACCAUUUAGCGUGUUUGUUGCGAAGUACUCACUGC
rnacentral:lncRNA from 1 species